rnacentral:rRNA from 1 species
UACGAAGGGGGCUAGCGUUGUCCGGAUUCACUGGGUGUAAAGGGUGCGUAGGCGGGAGAGUAAGUCCGCGGGUGAAAAUCUCACGGCUCAACCGUGAAACUGCCGUUGAUACUGCUUUCUUGAGUUCGGGAGAGGUUGAUGGAAUUCCAGGUGUAGCGGUGAAAUGCGUAGAUAUCUGGAAGAACACCAGUGGCGAAGGCGGUCAACUGGCCCGUAACGUGACGCUGAGGCACGAAAGCGUGGGGAG